UCAAACGCAGCUACCGAAACACCACCUCCUGUAACAACACCUCCUGUUUCCCCUGUUCACAGGUUUUUAAUAAAAGCCGAGCAUCUGUCCCUUCCACUAUGCUUUGAUGUCUCAAACACCCGUCUGAAACUACUCCACCAUCCCAACUGGCAGCUUUCUGUGAAUGGUGAGCUUGACUCAACACCAAAUGGAGGCUUUCAAAGGAUCAUCAUCCACUUCCAAACUAACCUGACUAUUGAAGUAGACACCAGUGGAUUCACU